rnacentral:tRNA from 1 species
ACAGGGGUGUGGCUCAGUGGUCAAGUGCUUACCUAGCACGCAAGAGCCCCUGGGUUCAAUUCCCAGCUCUAGAG